GGUACCGGCGACCAGCUGGUAGGGCUCGACGAGGACUACGACAUGUGAUGUUGGUUAUUUACUUCUACCCUUUUAUUUUUUAUGAUUUGUGAAUCUUGGUUCUGUUCAUGUCCCAAUUGUUUAGACACUAGGUUUUUUUUUCUUGUUCAAUUUUUGUCUAGUAUUUUAUACUCAUAUAUUUAUAUUUUUCUUAUAAUUUAGGUUAGGUGUUAGAAUUUUAGAAUGUUACCUAAGAAACAUUUGUCAG
rnacentral:lncRNA from 1 species